GCCUCAAUAGCUUAGAUGGUAGAGCAUAGAACUGAAGCUUCUAACGGAUGGUUCGAUUCCAGUUUGAGGCA
rnacentral:tRNA from 1 species